rnacentral:rRNA from 1 species
AGUUUGAUCCUGGCUCAGGAUGAACGCUGGCGGCGUGCUUAACACAUGCAAGUCGAGCGAAGCAGUUAAGAAGAUUCUUCGGAUGAUUUUUAACUGACUGAGCGGCGGACGGGUGAGUAACGCGUGGGUGACCUGCCCCAUACCGGGGGAUAACAGCUGGAAACGGCUGCUAAUACCGCAUAAGCGCACAGAGCUGCAUGGCUCGGUGUGAAAAACCCCGGUGGUAUGGGAUGGGCCCGCGUCUGAUUAGGUAGUUGGCGGGGUAACGGCCCACCAAACCGACGAUCAGUAGCCGGCCUGAGAGGGCGACCGGCCACAUUGGGACUGAGACACGGCCCAAACUCCUACGGGAGGCAGCAGUGGGGAAUAUUGCACAAUGGGGGAAACCCUGAUGCAGCGACGCCGCGUGAGCGAAGAAGUAUUUCGGUAUGUAAAGCUCUAUCAGCAGGGAAGAUAAUGACGGUACCUGACUAAGAAGCCCCGGCUAACUACGUGCCAGCAGCCGCGGUAAUACGUAGGGGGCAAGCGUUAUCCGGAUUUACUGGGUGUAAAGGGAGCGUAGACGGCAAGGCAAGUCUGAUGUGAAAACCCAGGGCUUAACCCUGGGACUGCAUUGGAAACUGUCUGGCUCGAGUGCCGGAGAGGUAAGCGGAAUUCCUAGUGUAGCGGUGAAAUGCGUAGAUAUUAGGAAGAACACCAGUGGCGAAGGCGGCUUACUGGACGGUAACUGACGUUGAGGCUCGAAAGCGUGGGGAGCAAACCAGGAUUAGAUACCCUGGUAGUCCACGCCGUAAACGAUG